ACGCUGGCGGCGUGCCCAAUACAUGCAAGUCGAACGCUUUUUUCCAUCGGGAGCUUGCUCCCGGGGAAAAAAGAGUGGCGGACGGGUGAGUAACACGUGGGUAACCUGCCUAUAAGAGGGGGAUAACAGCCGGAAACGGCUGCUAAUACCGCAUAGAAACUGCCGGCACCUGCCGGCGGCUGGAAAGACGGCCUUUGUGCUGUCGCUUAUAGAUGGACCCGCGGCGUAUUAGUUAGUUGGUGGGGUAAAGGCCUACCAAGACGAUGAUACGUAGCCGACUUGAGAGAGUGAUCGGCCACAUUGGGACUGAGACACGGCCCAAACUCCUACGGGAGGCAGCAGUAGGGAAUCUUCCGCAAUGGACGAAAGUCUGACGGAGCAACGCCGCGUGAGUGAAGAAGGUUUUCGGAUCGUAAAACUCUGUUGUCAGAGAAGAACAAAGGGAUGAGUAACCGCUUCCCUCUUGACGGUAUCUGACCAGAAAGCCACGGCUAACUACGUGCCAGCAGCCGCGGUAAUACGUAGGUGGCAAGCGUUGUCCGGAUUUAUUGGGCGUAAAGCGAGCGCAGGCGGUUCUUUAAGUCUGAUGUGAAAGCCCCCGGCUUAACCGGGGAAGGUCAUUGGAAACUGGGGAACUUGAGUGCAGAAGAGGAGAGUGGAAUUCCAUGUGUAGCGGUGAAAUGCGUAGAUAUAUGGAGGAACACCAGUGGCGAAGGCGACUCUCUGGUCUGUAACUGACGCUGAGGCUCGAAAGCGUGGGGAGCGAAC
rnacentral:rRNA from 1 species